UCAAAAAGUAGUAUAUAAAUUACAACUUGCUUACACCAAGUAAAAGAUCCUUCGGUCCUUUUUGA
rnacentral:tRNA from 1 species